rnacentral:rRNA from 1 species
GAAGAACCAACAGGGGAUUGCCCUAGUAACGGCGAGUGAAGCGGCAACAGCUCAAAUUUGAAAUCUGGCGUAAGCCCGAGUUGUAAUUUGUAGAGGAUGCUUCUGGGUAGCGGCCGGUCUAAGUUCCUUGGAACAGGACGUCAUAGAGGGUGAGAAUCCCGUAUGUGACUGGCUUGCACCCUCCACGUAGCUCCUUCGACGAGUCGAGUUGUUUGGGAAUGCAGCUCUAAAUGGGAGGUAAAUUUCUUCUAAAGCUAAAUACCGGCCAGAGACCGAUAGCGCACAAGUAGAGUGAUCGAAAGAUGAAAAGCACUUUGGAAAGAGAGUUAAAAAGCACGUGAAAUUGUUGAAAGGGAAGCGCCCGCAACCAGACUUUGCGGCGGUGUUCGGCUGGUCUUCUGACCGGUUUACUCGCCGCCGUGAGGCCAUCAUCGUCUGGGACCGCUGGAUAAGACCUGAGGAAUGUAGCUCCCUUCGGGGUGUGUUAUAGCCUCUGGUGAUGCAGCGCGUCUCGGGCGAGGUCCGCGCUUCGGCAAGGAUGAUGGCGUAAUGGUUGUCGGCGGCCCGUCUUGAAACACGGACCAAGGAGUCUAACAUCUAUGCGAGUGUUCGGGUGUCAAACCCCUACGCGUAAUGAAAGUGAACGGAGGUGGGAACUUUUUGUGCACCAUCGACCGAUCCUGAUGUCCUCGGAUGGAUUUGAGUAAGAGCAUAGCUGUUGGGACCCGAAAGAUGGUGAACUAUGCCUGAAUAGGGUGAAGCCAGAGGAAACUCUGGUGGAGGCUCGCAGCGGUUCUGACGUGCAAAUCGAUCGUCAAAUUUGGGUAUAGGGGCGAAAGACUAAUCGAACCAUCUAGUAGCUGGUUCCUGCCGAAGUUUCCCUCAGGAUAGCAGUAACGUUUUCAGUUUUAUGAGGUAAAGCGAAUGAUUAGAGGCUUGGGGUUGAAACAACCUUAACCUAUUCUCAACUUUAAAUAUGUAAGAAAUCCUUGUUACUUAGUUGAACGUGAACUUUGAUGUACCGUUACUAAUGGGCCAUUUUUGGUAACCAAAACUGGCAAGCCGGAUGAACCGAAACCCAAGUUAAGGGGCCCGAAUUUCCCUCAUCAAAC